rnacentral:miRNA from 1 species
UCGCUUGGUACAGGUCGGGAA